GAGGACACGGAAAGUGCUAUUGUGUGAAACGGACAGUGCUUCCCAUCUUCACAUCACUCACUUGGAUCUGGCUCACGGGAGUAGCUGCUGGCUUAUCCAAGGAUGAUGACAUGCUGCUCCCCAUCCUGAAAGGAAUUGUUGGAGGUAGCACCGUUUAUUAAACAGUAAAGACAAUAUAUCAGAUGACAUGCAUUUGAAGAAAACCUAGUAUGCAAGUAUAUAUCCGAACUUAGGAAAAUAAUAAAAAAAUAGGUUUUACUUA